rnacentral:rRNA from 1 species
GGAAUAUUGGUAAUCUGCGAAAGCGGGAACCAGCGACGCCGCGUGUGCGAUGAAGGUCUUCGGAUCGUAAAGCACUUUUCGAGGAGAUGAGGAAGGACAGUAUCCUCGGAAUAAGUCUCGGCUAACUACGUGCCAGCAGCCGCGGUAAAACGUAGGAGGCAAGCGUUAUCCGGAUUUACUGGGCGUAAAGCGCGUGCAGGCGGUUCGGUAAGUUGGAUGUGAAAGCUCCUGGCUCAACUGGGAGAGGUCGUUCAAUACUACUGGACUUGAGGAUGGUAGAGGGAGGUGGAAUUCCGGGUGUAGUGGUGAAAUGCGUAGAUAUCCGGAGGAACACCAGUGGCGAAAGCGGCCUCCUGGACCAUUUCUGACGCUCAGACGCGAAAGCUAGGGUAGCAAACGG